rnacentral:lncRNA from 1 species
GCAUACGACUGCAGUUCUCUCGCCGGCGUGUUCUGCAGCCCGGCUGCCACGGAGGUGCGGUGGAGCCAGGGGUCCAGAGCCACCGGGUUAUUGUGGAAAUGCUGCGCCGCCGUGGUGGUCAGCACUCCAUACAAAUGCUGGAAACACAAACAGCCAACUGCCCCACAGCCACGUGGACCCACAUAUCCCUCCCCCCCCCGCCUCCUUAGGGGCACCAUCAGAUGGGCCACACAUUGCCACCUGCCAUACCUGCAUCAGCACCCCAACUCCUAGUCCCAGCCUGAUUAUACAAUGCACCAUGUGCCAACACUCCAUACAAAUGCUGGAAACACAAACAGCCAACUGCCCCACAGCCACGUGGACCCACAUAUCCCUCCCCCCCCGCCUCCUUAGGGCAGGGCACCAUCAGAUGGGCCACACAUUGCCACCUGCCAUACCUGCAUCGGCACCCCAACUCCUAGUCCCAGCCUGAUUAUACAAUGCACCAUGUGCCAACACUCCAUACAAAUGCUGGAAACACAAACAGCCAACGGCCCCACAGCCAUGUGGACCCACAUAUCCCUCCCCCCCCGCCUCCUUAGGGGCACCCACAGGUGGGCCAUGCAUUGUCACCUGCCAUACCUGCAUCGGCACCCCAACUCCUAGUCCCAGCCUGAUUAUACAAUGCACCAUGUGCCAACACUCCAUACAAAUGCUGGAAACACAAACAGCCAACUGCCCCACAGCCACCUGGACCCACAUAUCCCUCCCCCCCCGCCUCCUUAGGGGCACCCACAGGUGGGCCAUGCAUUGCCACCUGCCAUACCUGCAUCGGCACCCCAACUCCUAGUCCCAGCCUGAUUAUACAAUGCACCAUGUGCCAACACUCCAUACAAACGCUGGAAACACAAACAGCCUACUGCCCCACAGCCACCUGGACCCACAUAUCCCUCCCCCCCCCCGCCUCCUUAGGGGCACCUAGAGGGAUGGCUCCUGGCUCUCAGGACGGAAUACCUGUGAGCAGGUUCGGUGGAUUCCUGAGCCCCAGUUUGCUCCUGCAGAGGCAACUUAGCCCUGGCUAUAGUGUCCCUGUCAGGGCCCUUUCAUCAAUUGUCCAAACACUGCAGGGCAGCGUCAAACCAUAGUGGUACUAGGGGAACAUUGUUCAUAAAUGUUAUCGUUCCCCAAGGCUCAUGACAUGGGAAGACACGUUCCACAACUACUCAAGCACAACUACUACACGGCUAAGACCAUGCUCUUCUUGUAAGACCAGGCUCCUCUAGCUCCUCUUUAUCCCUCACAGCAGUUUGCAAGUUCAUGCUGCAAGUCCAUACUCCAAGGGUGACAGCCGCAAGAGUGGUAUGGUGUAGGCAUCAUCUAGUCCAUACUCUGACAACUGCUGCAACAUAAGCAACAACUGAAUAACAACUCUGCUACUAUGCACACCGUAUAUACCUAUGCACACAGUCAUAGCAAAGGUCAUAGCAAAGGGGCAAACCUUGGUUGUGCCCACAUCAACACAACCCACAUCAACGCACCCCACAGACUGAUGUCUGGUUCUGGUGAGGUUCUUUGCCCUAUAUUUAUCAUGAAUGGCACCUCCCCCCAAUACACAUAUGCAUUAUUACUCUGAUAUACUAGUAGGCCAAGACACACAGUCUCUCAGGCAAUCCAGGUUUCACGCCUUUUGUCCUUGUUGUACCGAUUAUAUCAGUCAGACGCCUCAAUGAAGUUUGAUGGAAGCGGUUGUUUCCGAGGGGGCUUCCAGCCAGGGCUCCCCGGAUGGCACAAGCUUGGCGUUCCGCAGGGUAAUCCUGCAGACAUAAUGGAUUAUAGAAAUGAAGGAAUGUACUGUCAGGUAAGGCUUUCUAGACUUUCAGGAUCUCAAGGAAUCUGCCAUUUGACAUCCCUGACUAGCCUGUCCACACAUCUGCUGCGAAGUAGCACGGCACCCCAGCAGUGAAGAAACUGCGUAGCUUUGCAUGCGCAACAGUGUGAUGUUGGGGAAGGGUAAGAUUAAAAGGACAAGUGAUUGAGAGGGUGGAAGGGGGUGGAUGUCAGUGCACAGUGCAUUGUGAGGGUAGCCCAGUUGUGACGUGGUUGUGACGUGGUUGUGACUGUGACUGUGACUGUGACUGUGUAAAAGACAGUUCAGGGUGUGAAGAGAAACAAACGUUGAACGUACCUGGCUUUGCGCGACAUCCAUCCCAGCAGGUGGGCCACUCAGAGGGGCCGCAGGCGGGAUAUAGCUGAGAAUCCCCCCUGCUGCAGCAGCCAUAGGCAUGCAUGCAUGAGGGGCAGGCCAUACAGCGACAUAGCAAAGAUCACAAAAAAGCAACAUACCAAGUGCCGGUACAGCGGGGAGUAUUAAGGUGGGCAUGAUGUGAGCCGGCAAGGUAGGAGGUGUGGGGACGAUGUUGGGAUACAGAGAACCGAUAUGACAUCUCACGGAAUACACUUGCAGUGUCCGCCCCCAGCCCCCGUGUGCCACUCGAUUGCCACGCUCUCCUCCUCACCCUAUUGCAUUGGGUUUGGUUUAGUUUGCAAUGGUAUCUACAACCCCCACCCCCACCCGGCCCCGCCACCCGGCCCGCCACCUGCCUUGCAAUGCAAGCCCGGGUCGCAGCCUCAGGACAUUCAGUGGCAUGCCUGGGUGCAUGUGGCGGCGUGCCCCGACACGGCGGCAUCCAGGUAGCAUCACAGCCAGCGCUCGUAUCUUAAGCAGGCAGGGGCGGCGUCAGUGGCCGAAUUCCUUAAAAUGACUUCGUUUGGUUGACGAAACAGGCUGCCGCUGCUUCGUUCACCCCCAAAAUUUUUCCGGAGGCUCUGCCCCCGACCCGCACGGUUCGUGCGGUGGUGUCGGUGAUCUUGGCGGACGCCAAGCAAUUGCACGGGAAUAUAACAGUAAACCAUUGCCCCAGAACAUUCUCAGAUGUCAACACCGACACGACCCGCACACUCCUCCCCUGCUUGCCGCCGACCCAACCUCAUUCUCCCGCCGUCAACACCCAUAGAUACAGCCCUCUGAGUCUUCUGACCAUAUGCCAUGCAGGUUUCGUUCGGCCGUGGGGUACGUUAGGUACGUAGCCGCUGGAACCCCCUUGUCCUUCGGCCAAAAGUGGCCGCAAUCCCAAAAUGUCUUCGUCUGUUUGCCGAAAACCCCCCCAAGAUCCCGUGCCUUUGGGCCGAAAAUUCAAGUCAAGAUCACAAAAAUUUCUUCCGCAGGAGACCUUUUUGGGCAAAUUUCGUUCCGAACGAAGGAAGAUACGAGCGCUGAUCACAGCAGGUGGUGACAUGGUUCGUGCCGUCCGCCCCCAGCCCCUACCCCCACCCACCGCCACAGCGCGAGGCGUCCUAUACGAGACAUUGCCCAAAUAGGUAGCCGUAGCGAAAGAGCGGUGAAGUGGCCGGAGGAAGGGAAGGCAAAAUCGUGUCGGCGCAGAUUUGGGAACGGGAAGGGAGUGGGGAGCGGGGCCCACUUGGGAGGGCUCAGUAUCGGGGACAGGCAGGGGAAUGGAGAUGGCAGGUGCGCCACGGGGCCUGGUAGCGGAGGAGUGUGCACACACCCAUGGAUGCGCAUCAGCAAACUUCCAGCCAGCCAGCAACUUUUCGGUACAGUAACUCCGGCGUUCGUCCAGCCGCGCACUCCUGCCCUGCCGUUGCAAAGUGUUUGCCAUCUUCUGGGGGCUGAGAGUUUGCUGCACCCUGCGGGACUUCACCAAUAACCUGCCUGGACACUGCCCCAUCGCACACCAACGGAUGCUGGGGCCAUACACGCGAGGGCGGGGGGAUGCGGGGACGCAGCCACGAAGGACACAGUAUUAGCGUCAGGAAUGCCGGGAGAUGAUGUGGGUAGAUAGGCCGCUGGUCGUCAGCGGUGUGGCCGGGCUGCAUCGGGACACACACACACCCCUGUCCCGGGACAGGCCGCCAUGGGGCGGUGUGGUCGGGCGCGUAAGCCUUGGAGGCAGCAAUAGAGAGCGCUAUGCCUUACAAGGUAGACGUAGCUACCGACCGCCCAAGUCAAGUUAACCCUUGUACGGAAGACACUCUUGGCACUUCACCAAUGAGACUUAUUGAAGUGCUCGCCUGCUCGGCCCCAUUCGCCCGGCCCCAUCGCAUCCGUACCACCCGCGACCCUCGCGGAAGUACGCGGAAUCCCUCCACACAGUUACCCUUCCACCCACACUGGGAGCAGUCUAUCAGACUGCGCGGAAAGGACGACUAGUUUCGCGACGAUCCCACCACACCCACCCGUCGCGAAGAGGAGAACCCGGAACACACAAUACACACAGCAGCACUAGGAACACAAGGCCCCAUCACACACCAACCCUAGCAACGAAACAGCAUACAUACGACCGCCAGCAACGGACUACUCAGCCUCAACUGCGGAGGGCUCCAGGUGGCGGUCGGGGUCCAGGUACCGCCGCAGCGUGCCCACGCUCCGCAUCUGAGCCAGCUGCAGCAGGGCGUCCAGGCCAGCGCCGGUGGCUCUGGCGUGCUGCAAGGAGCCGCGGCGGAAGCUGUGGCAGGUCUCGCCCUCCCCCAGACCCGCUUGCUCCAAAUGGCGGCGGAGGCGGUAAUUGAGGUCGGACGUGCUCAUAGCCCGUUCCUCAAAACCGCGCCGGUCAGCCCGCAGGGGCCGGAACAGCCAGUCACCCACCGCCCAGCCGCCCUCAGAGCACAGCUUCAAGUACACCGCCAGGCAGCGCACGAAACACUGGGAGGUGACGGGCGCGGGGGCCAGGUCGCGGGCGGGGGCGCGACGCCCCUGGUAGGUCUUGGUCCCGAGCUGGCUCACCACGAGGGUGGGGAAGGCGGUGAGGGGCGUCCCCAGAAGGGGGAGGGGAAGGGGAUACCUGGAGUAGGCGGAGGAGGAAUUGGCCGGGUCACGAAGAUCGCUCAGACGCAGCCGCCCGCAGUCGUGGCCGCGCGUGGUGGUGUGCCACAUGAACUGGUAGCACAGCAGGUCGCGGUACAGGCACGCCUCCUCGAUCCCGGCGGUGGAGGGGGCGGCGUUGAGCAGAUAGCGGCACAGCUGGGCGAACUUGUCAUACGACAGAGGCCGGGCGGAGCGCUCCUGGUACCCGCCGGCGCCGGCCUGACGCCCGUACCCACGACGGUACAGGCGGACAUCCGUAGACUCGCAAGGGUUGCCGCGAGGCGUAUCCUCGGUCCAGGGCCCCUUGCGACCGUACAGCUCGAAGCCACCGGAGAGCAGGGAAAGAUGGGUGAGCACCGAGCUGGGGCUGGGGCGCCCGCCAGCAGCGCGCCCACGAUGUGUAGAAACCCAGUGCCGCUCCAUGUAGAUCAGCACGUGCUCGGGGGUGCAGGAGUGGGCAGACACGCCGGAUGCGCGCCCCAGCAGCCAGCCCUCGAACUCAAGCAUGGCAGCCUCGCGUGCCCGGCGGGUAGACGGAGCAUGCGCGUGCGCCUGCACAGCAGCCACGGCGGGCAGGCUGCCCAGCAGGUAGGAGCUGGAAGCGGAGGCAUCCAGCACGAUGCGUGGAAUGGCGGGCAGAGGGGCGGUGGAGUAGCGGAACAGAGACAACCGCAACUGCGAGGGCGGAGACACAAGCACAAGGAUGUGUUAAGAAGGCUAUCAUAGGAGACGCGCCGAGCCAAGAAGAAGCCAAAGAACAGCGAUUCACGCACCGGAGGCGAAGCGGCGGGGAGCGGAUCCGGAAGCGCGGGGAGAGGCAGCCCCAAGAGACUUGAACCAGAAGAAGAAGCCGCCCCAAAGGCGCCCUGCGAGGGCGCGCAUAAGCGUUAUGGGCCAAACAACACAAGGACUGGCGGCGAGCCUCACCGCCGCGAACCCAGAGCCAGACCCAGGCGUGGACAAGACGUUGCUCAGGACAGGACGAGCAGUCGCCGAAGGCGGGUCACCGAACACGCCACGCCCGGGACCGGCCUGGAAAAACAGUGAACGAUUCCGGUCACCAAGCAGCACCAAAGGUCGUAACAAGAGCAGAUUAAUAUAGAGCGUAUCGGAAACCCACCAGAAGGCCAAGAGAAAUUCCGUGCAUUGAGGUUCGUCACGGGGCGCGUAAGCCUUGGAGGCAGCAAUAGAGAGCGCUAUGCCUUACAAGGUAGACGUAGCUACCGACCGCCCAAGUCAAGUUAACCCUUGUACGGAAGACACUCUUGGCACUUCACCAAUGAGACUUAUUGAAGUGCUCGCCUGCUCGGCCCCAUUCGCCCGGCCCCAUCGCAUCCGUACCACCCGCGACCCUCGCGGAAGUACGCGGAAUCCCUCCACACAGUUACCCUUCCACCCACACUGGGAGCAGUCUAUCAGACUGCGCGGAAAGGACGACUAGUUUCGCGACGAUUUAGGAGAGAGUUUUGCAACAACACGCUUAGGACGGCCCAAGCACUUUGCGUAGGAUAGAUAAUACACUGGAGUAGGAGACUACUCCGAAGAAUAGAGGAAGCAAGAAAGCUCAGAGCUCGGAGCUCGGUUCAUCGGUCGGCCUCGGCGCAAAAUGGUAAGCCACGGUAAGUAUCAUUAGUAGGGCGAGAUAAUAGAUGUUAAGAAAUGCACGAAAAGGCACCCGAACACAUGGUCCAGCCCAGUCAAGGUCAGUCAACGGGGCCGAUAGCAUGCUACAACCCACGAGAACAGUUUGGCGUCAAGCCCGAGGAGCUAAGGCAACAUCGCGGCAGUAGACUAAUCACCUAAGCAAGCAGCGGCUGGGGCCCAAAGGUCAAACGCAGCACGGUGAGGGGCGAGGGCGCGGGGCUGCACCAAGCGGCGGGAGGGGGAAGCCGGCCAGGCUGAGCGCGGGAAGCCGGGGUCGCACUAAGCGGCGGGCGCGGGGCCAUGCGGGAGUAAGGGGCGGCAAGUCCAGGGUUGCGCCAAGCGGCAGGUGCGGGGGGCAGGCGGCAAGCCAGGGUUGCACCAAGCCGAGGGUGCACGGGGCAGGCGGCAAGCCAGGGUUGCACCAAGCCGCGGGUGCACGGGGCUGGCGGCAAGCCAGGGCUGCACCAAGCGGCGGGUGCAGGGGGCAGGCGGCACGCCAGGGUUGCACCAAGCGGCAGGUGCGGGGGGCAGGCGGCAAGCCAGGGUUCCACCAAGCGGCAGGUGCGGGGGGCAGGCGGCAAGCCAGGGUUGCACCAAGCGGCGGGUGCGGGGGGCAGGCGGCAAGCCAGGGUCACGCCAAGCCGCAGGUGCGGGGGGCAGGCGGCAAGCCAGGGGGACACCAAGCGGCAGGUGCAGGGGGCAGGCGGCAAGCCAGGGUUGCACCAAGCGGCAGGUGCGGGGGGCAGGCGGCAAGCCAGGGGGGCACCGAGCGGCAGGUGCAGGGGGCAGGCGGCAAGCCAGGGUUGCACCAAGCGGCAGGUGCGGGGGGCAGGCGGCAAGCCAGGGUUGCGCCAAGCGGCGGGUGGGGGGGGCAGGCGGCAAGCCAGGGUUGCACCAAGCGGCGGGUGGGGGGGGCAGGCGGCAAGCCAGGGUUGCGCCAAGCGGCGGGUGGGGGGGGCAGGCGGCAAGCCAGGGUUGCACCAAGCGGCAGGUGCGGGGGGCAGGCGGCAAGCCAGGGUCACGCCAAGCCGCAGGUGCGGGGGGCAGGCGGCAAGCCAGGGGGACACCAAGCGGCAGGUGCAGGGGGCAGGCGGCAAGCCAGGGUUGCACCAAGCGGCGGGUUCGGGGGGCAGGCGGCAAGCCAGGGUCACGCCAAGCCGCAGGUGCGGGGGGCAGGCGGCAAGCCAGGGUCACGCCAAGCCGCAGGUGCGGGGGGCAGGCGGCAAGCCAGGGGGACACCAAGCGGCAGGUGCAGGGGGCAGGCGGCAAGCCAGGGUUGCACCAAGCGGCGGGUGCGGGGGGCAGGCGGCAAGCCAGGGUCACGCCAAGCCGCAGGUGCGGGGGGCAGGCGGCAAGCCAGGGGGACACCAAGCGGCAGGUGCAGGGGGCAGGCGGCAAGCCAGGGUUGCACCAAGCGGCAGGUGCGGGGGGCAGGCGGCAAGCCAGGGGGGCACCGAGCGGCAGGUGCAGGGGGCAGGCGGCAAGCCAGGGUUGCACCAAGCGGCAGGUGCGGGGGGCAGGCGGCAAGCCAGGGUGGCACCAAGCGGCGGGUGCGGGGGGCAGGCGGCAAGCCAGGGUCACGCCAAGCGGCAGGUGCGGGGGGCAGGCGGCAAGCCAGGGUGGCACCAAGCGGCGGGUGCGGGGGGCAGGCGGCAAGCCAGGUUGGCACCAAGCGGCGGGUGCGGGGGGCAGGCGGCAAGCCAGGGUUGCACCAAGCCGAGGGUGCGGGGGGCAGGCGGCAAGCCAGGGUUGCACCAAGCCGCGGGUGCACGGGGCUGGCGGCAAGCCAGGGCUGCACCAAGCGGCGGGUGCGGGGGGCAGGCGGCAAGCCAGGGUCACGCCAAGCGGCAGGUGCGGGGGGCAGGCGGCAAGCCAGGGUUCCACCAAGCGGCGGGUGCGGGGGGCAGGGGGCAAGCCAGGGUCGCGAAAAGCCGCGGGUGCACGGGGCAGGCGGGAGUACGGGGAGGCAAGUCCAGGGUUGCACCAAGCGGCAGGUGCGGGGGGCAGGCGACAAGCCAGGGUUGCACCAAGCGGCAGGUGCGGGGGGCAGGCGGCAAGCCAGGGUUGCAGCAAGCGGUGGGGGCGCGGAGGCAGGGCACUGAGGGCAGGCAGAAUGCGGGGCGGCAAGUCAGGCUUGCGCCAAGCGGCAGGUGCCGGGGCAAGGAGACGGCAGGCCAGUGUUGCACAAGCGCGGCGGGACGCAGGGGCAGGGCAGAUGGAGUGCGGGGGCGACAAGCCAGGGCUGCACCAAGCAGCGGGGAGGCGGAGACAGGACAGGCGGAGUGCGGGGCGGCAAGCCGGGGGUUGCGGCGGGUGUGCGAGGCAAGGGCAGAUGAAGCGCGGGGCGGAAGCCGAGGGUUCGUUGCGGCAUACAGCGGGUGCGCGCGGGCAGGGCAGGCGGAGGGGUAUGUGGGCCAGAGGUACAGGGCUACUGACACCAAGCAGUGGGGGCGCUGGAGGGGAGCAGAAGGAGGGCAGUGAGACAACCUGGGGUAGUGCCAAACGAACCGGGCAGGGGGACGAAGAGCCGGCAAAAAGAAGCGUUGCGAGAUGUGGUGCUACAAAGGAGAAGGCAGUAGGCCAAUCGGCGCCCCAGGAGGAGCGGUAUGAGAGUAGCGAGGGCAAGCCGGGGCUGCGACAAGCGACGGGGGCCACGCACGGAGCGGAGCACAAGCAGGCGACUCAGCCCGAGUGACGGGGGCGCUGGGCGAAGCAGGCUGAGGGCAGCAAGAGCAAGCCGGGGCCACACUAAGAGACGUAGGCAUGGGGCAGAGCAGGUAGGCGGAAGGAGGCGCAGGCAAGUCAGGGGGCCAAGUGGCGGGGGCGUUGGGGACUCACCGGCAGAGGGCUGAGAUGGCAAACCAGGGGUUGCGCCUAGCGGCGGGGGGCUCUGAAAAGAGCAGGAGGCGGGCAGCGAGGGCACAACUGGGCUUUGCGACAGGGGCACGGGGGAGAGCAGGCGGAAGGAAGCGCGGGCAACUCAGGGGAGGCGCCAAAUGGCGGGGGCGUUGGAGAAGAUCCGCCGGCAGAGGACUGAGAGGACAGCCCAAGGGAUGUGCCUAGCGGCGGGCGCGUGGGGAAGAGCACGCUGCGGGCAGCGAGGGCAAACAGGGUUCAUCACGCCGGGGGCUCGGGGGUACGGGGCAGAGCAGGUGGCAGGGAGCGAUGGCCGUGGGGCUGCGCAGGCGGAGGUGAGGGCAAGGGGGUUAGCAGGGAUCCCGUCGUCAUCGGCACGUAUGCGGGACAGGCGGGGGCGGGGCAGCAGGGGAAGGCGUGGUGGAGGUGGCGGAAGGGCACGGGAUCCAGACUGCACGUAGCAGGGGUGCCGGUAAACGGACUGGAUGACUCGCCAGGGACUGCUCGCGGUGUUGUCGUGGAGUUGUGGAGGGUUACCCGCCACAGGUGGCAGCCCAGGGAUGGCACACAACCGAGGGGGCUUUAUUUGGGGGCAGCACUGACGGCAAAAAAGGCUAAGCCAGGGCAAAAGGCAAACAGUGAGCGCGCAAAGAGGAGCAGCCUGAGCGAGGGCAGAGAGGACAAGCUGGGACCCGCGAGUUGGUAGAAGAAGCCAGAGCGAGGGCCGCGAUGUCCCGACAAGCCAGGGGUAGCACCGAGAGAUUGGGGGCGCGGGGCCUGGGCAGCAGGUCGAGGGCGUCGAAGACAAUAGUGGGUACGCCAAGGGGCGGCGCGGGCGCGGACGCGGGGCUUGGCAGGAGCAGGUAGGCGGUGGUGGCAGUGGGUGGCCGCGCGUGAGGAGAGCAGGCAGGCAGAUCGAUGGCAGCGAUGCUGCGGUUUAACGUUGAACCAAUCCGAUGCUGGGGUGCUCAAGCUUAAGAGAAUGCGCGGGGGCAUAGGGGGCAGAGCAGCAAGCCAGGAGAGGCGUCAAGCGGUGCGUGAGCAGGGGCAGAGUAGGCCGAGGUAAGCAAUGACAAGUAAGCCGGGGCGGCGACAAGCGGCGGGGAGGGCAUCCCAGGCAGAGGGCGCGGGGCUGGGGCGACAAGCCAGCAGGAGCCCGCCAAUGGGUGGGGGCGCAGGGAGCAGUACCGGACGAGGCAGCCCGGGCAGCCGAAACUUUGUGAGGCAGAGCAUAGAAGGCGUCACUUGGGAGACCUGCUGACAAGGGGUAGGGCUGCAGGGGGGCCCUACCGGGGCCCCUAGGGAUCCGAGACAGGCGGCGAGCGCGGCCCAGUAGGAGGGAUCGCACAACAGAGGGGUUGCAACAAGUGGCAGAGAACCCGGGAUACGAGCCCCACAAGAGCAACAUGAGGUAGGGCAGCGGAGACCGCAACAUUAACGACACACCAGUUUGGCACGGGGGGUCGCGCCCAGGCUAACAGAUUCCUGUGUGUCUGUGGUUACAAGGUGGCGAGCACGAUGACGUGCAUCCCUGUCAGAUUAACAGGCGGGCAGGACCUGGGGACGGGGCGAGGGUAAUCCAGGGCAGAUUACGGGAUCAGAAGUCUGGGUGCCCGGUGAGAGGGUGGCCGACAGGACGCGAACAACCCAGGGCGGGCGCGGGGCGCACGGUGCGAGAAGGAUGCUAGCUAGGCACGCGGAACAGGCAGGGCAGACCCCCGGGCCGCCUCCCAGCACCUACUCCGGCUGCCCUCGAGUAAGGCGGGACGAGACGCACACGCACAUGGCUGACCCGCCCGCGGGACCCGGGUAGGCGGACGCCAGAAUCGGGGAACGGGCCCCGGACGUAAGGGGGGCACUAGGUGGCGCAGGCGGGCCGAGUAAGGCUUGGCGGGAGACGGAUAGACGGAGUAGACGGAGUGCAGAGGAUUAACACUCGGCCAGGCAGGGGGCUAUCUACCCACGGCUCGUGUCACUGCGAUAGACAACCCACAAUCGGGCAGAUUGGUUCCUGGAUACCGAUCAACGCGGGCCCUGCCACGGGGGUCCGUGGGCCACCCGCGAGCCGGGGGAAACAUAUGAAGCCGGCAGGACAGGCGGCUCGCCUGGCGGAAGAGGCGGGCUGAGGCGGACUAGCCAACCGACAGCACCUUGAAGGGGCGGGCGGGCAAUGCCGGGCAAUGCCGAGCCAGAUCAGACAGGCAACACGCCAAUAAGUAACAGCUGCCAAGACACAUACACAUGGAGGAGGAGCCCAGUACAUACAGUCGACGCGGGAAGAGCGGCAGCGGCAGGAACAGAUUGAAGCCGAGUAAGAAGCGCCAGACCUGGGGGGGGGGGGCGCCGGAAUACCCUGGCAGAUAGUAGCGGUGGGGAAGGAGCGAGGGUAGAGGGGCAAGAAGCCACGCGAGGGGACCGUCGGUAAGAUAGUCCACCUGAGCGAUACGUGCCAGGGCAAGCAGAAGCACGGCACGCAGGUUGGGACGUCACCGGCAAUUGCGCAAAACCGGACACGCACGUGAGUGAGCUAUGCAGUCAGGGGCCAGCCGGAGAGAUGGAAGACACUAGCGGCCUAUAUAUAUCAUCAGCAAAGGGGGCGGGUUGCAGUUACCAAUAGUCAGUGCGCAUGUAUAGGAGCGAGGAGGAGAGCGGGGAUACACCAAAAACCGCGGCCAGUACACAAGCAUCAAGCAAGCAACGGGAACACACCGACGGGAACACACCAGCCGGACGCAGCUGGGGAGCGGCACAAGUUUAAAAGCAUAUGGCGGCCCAACCAAGUAGGACGCACGCAACCGCUGGCGGAGGAGCAAGGGUUGCGGUCACCAGCCCAAGCUAAGCCAAACCAAACCAAGCGGAUGGGGAAGAGCGAGGAGGAGAGCGGGGGCCGGGGGGUGGGUGCUGUAGCAACGGCCACCGGGGCACGCCGUGCUAAGAGGUGAGGCAGGCAGGCAGGCAGGCAGGCAGGCAGGCAGGCAGGCAGGCAGGCAGGCAGGCAGGCAGGCAGGCAGGCAGGCAGGCAGGCAGGCAGGCAGGCAGGCAGGCAGGCAGGCAGGCAGGCAGGCAGGCAGGCAGGCAGGCAGGCAGGCAGGCAGGCAGGCAGGCAGGCAGGCAGGCAGGCAGGCAGGCAGGCAGGCAGGCAGGCAGGCAGGCAGGCAGGCAGGCAGGCAGGCAGGCAGGCAGGCAGGCAGGCAGGCAGGCAGGCAGGCAGGCAGGCAGGCAGGCAGGCAGGCAGGCAGGCAGGCAGGCAGGCAGGCAAGCAGGCAGGCAGGCAGGCAGGCAGGCAGGCAGGCAGGCAGGCAGGCAGCCAGGCAGGCAGGCAGGCAGGCGGGCGCCUGGGAAAGCGGGGCUUGCCACACCCUAGGCAGCCCGCGGCCUGAACACUAGGACGCAUGCUGGGGCACACACCCACUACCCGCACUCAAUCGGACUCAAGCCCCCCCUGGCACAAGAGAAACCGUGCACUGCCGCCCGGGGACGGACCUGGUGCGGCCGGCGGCAUGCACCACGGCUGCCCGCGCACACCAGGAGGGGACACACGGCGGAUUGCACCAUGGCGAUACGCGGCAAUCUUUAACCAGUACUGAAAGUCCUCACCAUUGGCGGGACGGAAGACCGGAGCUCGCAAGCCCCAGCGAACAUACAAGCAGGGCCCACUGGGACUAUGGUUGGGACACCGCCGGUGGCCCGACAGGCCGACACCGCGCGGCAGGCGGCACGCAGGACAAACAGGGAAAGGGAGGCGACGAACCACAUGGGUAGGCGCGCUCAAACACUGCAGAGACCCAAGCAGCGGCUAGACAGGGGAUGCAGCAAGCGCUGGCCCCGGCCCCGCGCGGGCCAAAUUCGUGACCGUGGGGGCACGCGGAGCGCCGCCCAUGGUUGGGGUGAAGGCAGGGAGUAGAGUGGUACAGAAGAGAGACCCAGGCUGGGCACAACGUCCGAUGCAGACUGCGCAACCAAUAAGCUGCGUCAACACGCUGUACGUGCACACGCGCGCGGCAGCCCAAGAGGUGGGGGCAGGGAGGACCGCGGCAGCGCGAGGCGUCCUAUACGAGACAUUGCCCAAAUAGGUAGCCGUAGCGAAAGAGCGGUGAAGUGGCCGGAGGAAGGGAAGGCAAAAUCGUGUCGGCGCAGAUUUGGGAACGGGAAGGGAGUGGGGAGCGGGGCCCACUUGGGAGGGCUCAGUAUCGGGGACAGGCAGGGGAAUGGAGAUGGCAGGUGCGCCACGGGGCCUGGUAGCGGAGGAGUGUGCACACACCCAUGGAUGCGCAUCAGCAAACUUCCAGCCAGCCAGCAACUUUUCGGUACAGUAACUCCGGCGUUCGUCCAGCCGCGCACUCCUGCCCUGCCGUUGCAAAGUGUUUGCCAUCUUCUGGGGGCUGAGAGUUUGCUGCACCCUGCGGGACUUCACCAAUAACCUGCCUGGACACUGCCCCAUCGCACACCAACGGAUGCUGGGGCCAUACACGCGAGGGCGGGGGGAUGCGGGGACGCAGCCACGAAGGACACAGUAUUAGCGUCAGGAAUGCCGGGAGAUGAUGUGGGUAGAUAGGCCGCUGGUCGUCAGCGGUGUGGCCGGGCUGCAUCGGGACACACACACACCCCUGUCCCGGGACAGGCCGCCAUGGGGCGGUGUGGUCGGGCGCGUAAGCCUUGGAGGCAGCAAUAGAGAGCGCUAUGCCUUACAAGGUAGACGUAGCUACCGACCGCCCAAGUCAAGUUAACCCUUGUACGGAAGACACUCUUGGCACUUCACCAAUGAGACUUAUUGAAGUGCUCGCCUGCUCGGCCCCAUUCGCCCGGCCCCAUCGCAUCCGUACCACCCGCGACCCUCGCGGAAGUACGCGGAAUCCCUCCACACAGUUACCCUUCCACCCACACUGGGAGCAGUCUAUCAGACUGCGCGGAAAGGACGACUAGUUUCGCGACGAUCCCACCACACCCACCCGUCGCGAAGAGGAGAACCCGGAACACACAAUACACACAGCAGCACUAGGAACACAAGGCCCCAUCACACACCAACCCUAGCAACGAAACAGCAUACAUACGACCGCCAGCAACGGACUACUCAGCCUCAACUGCGGAGGGCUCCAGGUGGCGGUCGGGGUCCAGGUACCGCCGCAGCGUGCCCACGCUCCGCAUCUGAGCCAGCUGCAGCAGGGCGUCCAGGCCAGCGCCGGUGGCUCUGGCGUGCUGCAAGGAGCCGCGGCGGAAGCUGUGGCAGGUCUCGCCCUCCCCCAGACCCGCUUGCUCCAAAUGGCGGCGGAGGCGGUAAUUGAGGUCGGACGUGCUCAUAGCCCGUUCCUCAAAACCGCGCCGGUCAGCCCGCAGGGGCCGGAACAGCCAGUCACCCACCGCCCAGCCGCCCUCAGAGCACAGCUUCAAGUACACCGCCAGGCAGCGCACGAAACACUGGGAGGUGACGGGCGCGGGGGCCAGGUCGCGGGCGGGGGCGCGACGCCCCUGGUAGGUCUUGGUCCCGAGCUGGCUCACCACGAGGGUGGGGAAGGCGGUGAGGGGCGUCCCCAGAAGGGGGAGGGGAAGGGGAUACCUGGAGUAGGCGGAGGAGGAAUUGGCCGGGUCACGAAGAUCGCUCAGACGCAGCCGCCCGCAGUCGUGGCCGCGCGUGGUGGUGUGCCACAUGAACUGGUAGCACAGCAGGUCGCGGUACAGGCACGCCUCCUCGAUCCCGGCGGUGGAGGGGGCGGCGUUGAGCAGAUAGCGGCACAGCUGGGCGAACUUGUCAUACGACAGAGGCCGGGCGGAGCGCUCCUGGUACCCGCCGGCGCCGGCCUGACGCCCGUACCCACGACGGUACAGGCGGACAUCCGUAGACUCGCAAGGGUUGCCGCGAGGCGUAUCCUCGGUCCAGGGCCCCUUGCGACCGUACAGCUCGAAGCCACCGGAGAGCAGGGAAAGAUGGGUGAGCACCGAGCUGGGGCUGGGGCGCCCGCCAGCAGCGCGCCCACGAUGUGUAGAAACCCAGUGCCGCUCCAUGUAGAUCAGCACGUGCUCGGGGGUGCAGGAGUGGGCAGACACGCCGGAUGCGCGCCCCAGCAGCCAGCCCUCGAACUCAAGCAUGGCAGCCUCGCGUGCCCGGCGGGUAGACGGAGCAUGCGCGUGCGCCUGCACAGCGGCCACGGCGGGCAGGCUGCCCAGCAGGUAGGAGCUGGAAGCGGAGGCAUCCAGCACGAUGCGUGGAAUGGCGGGCAGAGGGGCGGUGGAGUAGCGGAACAGAGACAACCGCAACUGCGAGGGCGGAGACACAAGCACAAGGAUGUGUUAAGAAGGCUAUCAUAGGAGACGCGCCGAGCCAAGAAGAAGCCAAAGAACAGCGAUUCACGCACCGGAGGCGAAGCGGCGGGGAGCGGAUCCGGAAGCGCGGGGAGAGGCAGCCCCAAGAGACUUGAACCAGAAGAAGAAGCCGCCCCAAAGGCGCCCUGCGAGGGCGCGCAUAAGCGUUAUGGGCCAAACAACACAAGGACUGGCGGCGAGCCUCACCGCCGCGAACCCAGAGCCAGACCCAGGCGUGGACAAGACGUUGCUCAGGACAGGACGAGCAGUCGCCGAAGGCGGGUCACCGAACACGCCACGCCCGGGACCGGCCUGGAAAAACAGUGAACGAUUCCGGCCACCAAGCAGCACCAAAGGUCGUAACAAGAGCAGAUUAAUAUAGAGCGUAUCGGAAACCCAAUAGAAGGCCAAGAGAAAUUCCGUGCAUUGAGGUUCGUCACGGGGCGCGUAAGCCUUGGAGGCAGCAAUAGAGAGCGCUAUGCCUUACAAGGUAGACGUAGCUACCGACCGCCCAAGUCAAGUUAACCCUUGUACGGAAGACACUCUUGGCACUUCACCAAUGAGACUUAUUGAAGUGCUCGCCUGCUCGGCCCCAUUCGCCCGGCCCCAUCGCAUCCGUACCACCCGCGACCCUCGCGGAAGUACGCGGAAUCCCUCCACACAGUUACCCUUCCACCCACACUGGGAGCAGUCUAUCAGACUGCGCGGAAAGGACGACUAGUUUCGCGACUAGCUCCGCGGAAAGGACCACUAGUUUCGCGUUCCUGGAGUGUCCAGCUUAUGCGCAGGCGAGGACGUGGCUGCAGCAGCUGUGGGCCUGCGUUGCGCCCCAGGCAGCGGCGCCGCCAGUGACGGACGCGGGCUUCAUGCUGGGGGACCGCAUGGGUAUGUGGGCCUCAGGCCCGCGGGGGGCGGGCGCGCUGCUGUGGAGCACUUUGCGGGCCACCUUCUUGUACGCCGUCUGGUGUGCGUACUGGUCCCGCGAGCCUGCUAAGCAGACGUCGGAGCAUGUGGUUCGGGAGGUGGUCAGCGAGCUGCGCAGGGUGAUGCAGCUGCGUUUCACUGCCGCCACGCUAACCCCUGAAACCCUGUCGGCUCUGCCCACACAGCUUCUCACCGCGCAGCUCAAGGCGGCUAAGCUGGAGCACUUUGUUGCCAUCUGGACGGCGGGUGGCGCGCUUUGUGAAGUGGAGGAGGUUCAGGGUGGGUCACCGAAGUUGAACUUGCGGCUGACGCUUGCAUCACCUGUGCAGGCCCCCUAGGUUUCCUUUUGGGUGGCGUUUCUUUCCAAGCGCUGGCGUGGUGUACUAUCGUCAUCAGCUUAUCUGGCGCCCAUGUGUUUUAGCUCUGGCUGGCGUCGCAGCGCCUGGGCGGCUGUGGGACUUCCUGCACAGCGCGUCUUGCAGCGGGCUGGAGCCCACUUAGUCAGCGCCACAUCUGGCCCAUUUAGUCUUCUGCUUGUGUCUCCUCUGCCGGUUCUCCUGGGGUGUUGCUUAAGCAACCGACUUGUGGGGGUGGGGUGGGUUUGGGCGGGGCGAGUGCGUAGCGCUGGUGUUUCCUUUUCUGGCGCGCGGUGGUGGUGGUUCUUGCGGUUAGGCUGUGGUGUAGGUUGGUGCUUGGGUUAGGUCUGGCGGUGUUUUUGUGCAACCCCUCCCGGGGGGCGGGGGGGCCAGCCUCCUGCUCUGUCUGCCGGGUCGGGGUGGGGUGGGGUGCGGUGGGAUGGAUGGGGGUGGUUGGUGGCGGUUUUGAGGUGUUUGCUUUCUGUUUUCUUCUCUUUUCUUCUCUUCUUGCCCUGUCAGGGUUCUGGUCUCGGGGACCAGGCUGUUUUCAGGCAGCAGGGGGGCAGCGCGUCUGCCCCUGUUCAACCUUGUAAGGAUGAUCCCUCAAAAAAAUCCACCGCCGGGGGCAGCACGCCAGGCCCAGGCUCCAAGAGCCGCCCCGUGUAGUGGACGUAGGACACAGCCCCCGCAGCGUUAGCCACCCACAGCUGGUCCAGGCUAACCCGCCACUGUGGCGGCGCCGCUGGCGGCUGAGUGGCUGGCUGCGGCGGAUGCUGUUCCACACCCGCGCUCCGCACGUGGCCGACCGCGGCCGCCAGCCGGGCAGGCAGCCCCGCUGGCGCCGGCGCGUCGCUGUACACCCACGCCCACGUGGUGGCGGAGUCCGGGCGCACAUGGGUAAGCAGCGCCCGGGUGAGCAUCUUCCAGGGUUGCCGGCCUGGCUGGGCAAGGAGGGCGAAAGUCUUAGCUUGCAGGGCAGACAGGAACGCAGGCAGGUCGACGUGGUUGACACCCCCGUCCUUGUACGGCAGACAUGCCGUUUCCCGCUUUGGCAGCAGGAGCGGGUUCCCGUGCGACACCAGGCUGGCGUCCUCAGCGUGCAUGGAGCGCGCAGCAAAGUGGUCCACCAGGUCGGUGAGCUCCUUCAGCUGCGCAGGCGACGGGUUGAGGAAGCUGAAGUGGUAGGCCAGCUUCGCCGCCAGCACCUGCUUCGCAAUGUGCACACGGCCAACGAGAGUCAGAGACAGGGCAGCCCACAGACGCGCCACAAACGCCAUGCCGCGAGCCCGCCGGGUGUACAAGUCAGCUGCAGCCGCAUCAGAGUCCCACGACAGGGGCACACCCAGGUGCGUCACGGCGCCAGUGGUAAACGGCACCCCGGUGUGUGGGCAAGGGCCCGUCAGGUGCGCAAACCUGCCAAGGCCCAUGGCCUUGCUCUUGUCCGGAUGGACACGGGCGUUGGACGCGCGGCAGAACAGCUGUACUGCCGCCAUCAGGACCGGCCCGUCCACCGCCGGGUCGCGCGCCGUGAGGGUCGUGUCGUCAGCGUGGUGGGCAGCAGGCGGCGCCGGCUCGCCGCUGGGUAACAGGGGCGUGCGCAGUGCCCCUUGCUCCACCUGCCGCCGCAGAAAGGACGUCAGUGGCUGCAUCUGGAUGACCCACAGGGGUGGUGAGGCGGUGCUGCCCUGCGGCAAGCCGUUCAGCACUGGGAAGGCGUCAGAGAGCAUCCCGUUCACACACACGCGGGCAGAGCCGUUGGCAGUGAGCAGGCGGAUCCAGCGCAGCAUGCGCGGCCCAAACCCAAGUCCCUCCGCGGACGCAUACAGCCACUGCCGGUGCACCCGGUCAUACGCCUUUUCUAUGUCCAAGAAGUACAGCGCACCACCCUGCCGUGGCGUGCCGUCCGCGCCCACGUCCAGGCGCAUCCAUUCGAUCAGGCCUUGGAGGUUUUUUUUUUUGAGGAAUCAUCCUUACAAGGUUGAACAGGGGCAGACGCGCUGCCCCCCUGCUGCCUGAAAACAGCCUGGUCCCCGAGACCAGAACCCUGACAGGGCAAGAAGAGAAGAAAAGAGAAGAAGACAGAAAGCAAACACCUCGAAACCGCCACCAACCACCCCCAUCCAUCCCACCCCAACACCCACCCGCCCCAGCCACGGCGCCCACACGCCUGCACAACCUGCCUUGACGGUGCAAGCCCACGCAAUAGCCUCAGGACAAUCAUUGGAAUGCCUGGGUGCCUGUGGCGGCGUGCCCCAACUCGGGUGCACCCAGGUAGCAUCGCAGGUGGUGAUACGGUUCGUGCCGUCCGCCCCCAGCCCACACACUAUAAGGACGGGUUUGUGCGUUACACCUGCUUUUUGUGCAUAAAGCAUGCGUUGGGGGUGGGACGCAUGCGUCCACGGAACGCAAGAAUGCAUGAGGGCCGGGCAGACGCAUGCGCCCCACGAAUACGCAAGCCCCCGACGCAAGCCCCCGACGCAAGCCCCGUCAAAGCCUUCACCUCAAGUACUUGCUCAACUCACAGAGUGUAGACACAUAGCGAACGAUGACUUUGCCAAACCUCGCGAUCGCCCAACUGCACUACACCCCUACCCACCCCCCCAUACAUGUAGCCCCUGGGCCACGGGGAGCCCGUGCACCUGCGCCACCUGCCUUGACAGUGCAAGCCCACGCAGCAGCCUCAGGACAUCAAGGGGCAUGCCUGGGAGCCUGUGGCUGCGUGCCCCCACGCCCUCGUAGCAUCGCAGGUGGUGAUCAGUGCUCGUAUCUUCCUUCUUUUCGACAGCUGCUGCAUGGCGCUGGGCGGUGGGGCGUUUUGUGUGGAAGGCACGUGAGCAGCUGUGUUUGUGGCACCUUCACAGGCGGCGGGGGCGGCUUUGCUGCUCAUCGCUUGGUCCUGACACGAGGUGCUUGUUCAGCUACCUCACCCAGCACGCUGUAACAGGGGCACAUCCCGUGCGGCAGAAUAUUUUGCUGUGCCAGAGCCGAAACGUGGGCUGGAGGCAACAGCCACCUCACCCCGCACGCUGUAACAAGGGCACAUCUCGUGCGGCGGAAUGUUGUGCUGUGCUGGAGCCGGAAGGUGGGCUGGGGGCAACAGCAGCAACCUCAUCCCGCACGCUGUAACACGACAAGGUUGUUUGCACCAGAUUCCCAGUACUAGCCAUCUGUACCAAGCUGUGUGUUUGUGUGGAGUUUCUGUUUUGAGAUGGAUGCACGGCACGAAUGGGAGAUUGAGAGAUUGCUGACACGGCCUGCCACACCCCUGGCUUGACACGAACCGUGCAUAGGUCGGGGGUGGAGCCCCCAGAAAACUUUUGGGAUGAAAGUUGCGGCGGCAGCGUGUUUCUGAGAAUUAAAGGUGCUCUAUUUCGGAAAUCUGUCAGCACCUGCCUUCUUAAGAUACGAGCAGUGGCCCAACCACUGGUGAUAUGGUUAGUGCCGCCAGCUCCAGCCCCCAGCCCCCACCCCCACCCCCACCUGCCCCGCCAUAGCGCCAGCGUGCCUGCGCCACCUGCUUUGAGGUGAAACCCCUCGCAGCAGCCUCAGGACAUCUAGCGGCAGGCCUGGGUGCCUGUGGGGGUAUGCUUCGACACGGGUGCGCCCAGGUCGGGUGCGCCCAGGUCGCAUGGCAUGUGGUGAGACUGCUGUCAUGGCGUUGGCCCCCAGCCCCCGGCCCCACUCCCACCGCCACGGUGCCAGGGUGCCUGCACAACCUGCCUUGAGGGUGCAAGCCCAGGCAGCAGUCUCAGGACGCUCAGUGGCAUGCCUGGGUGCCCAUUGUGGCGUGCCCUGACAUGGGUAGCAUUGCAGGUGGUGAUACGGUCAGUGCCGCCCGCCUCCAGCCCCCAGCCCCCACUCCCACCUGGCCGCCACGGCGCCCACGCUCCUGUGCCGCCUGCCUUACAGUGUAAGCCUGCCCAGCAGCCUGAGGACACAACAACAUAGGGUCAUUCCUGGUCAUAGCGCAGCAGAGCCCAGGGCCCAGCGGGUACACCACCUCACACGAAGGCCAGGGAGCAAUCCAACACCAAACCAAAAUCAUGCACACUCGCAAAACAAAAGCGCACACACACUGACAAGACACCUGAAGGCUGCGAGGCUUGGUCCAGGGACCCUCGCAGCCUCACUCCAUCCAGACCUCAGCUGAACCAGGGCAAGACGCCAGGGCAGACUAAGCCUACUAACUGAACAGGGUGGAAGCGCUGUAGGCUUAUCUUGACAUAAAAAAGUAGGGUCUAAACGGGAACCAAUCCCGUCUAAAUACGAGUGUUGUGGAAACGAAUGCGUACGUAGACCAGAGCGGAUGGCGGAGUGGGCUAGACGGGAUGGAAUCCCGCCCCCAGCCCACACACACCCACCGGCCCCGCCACGGCGCCCGUGCACCUGCGCCACCUGCCUUGACGGUGCAAGCCCACGCAGCAGCCUCAGGACAUCAAGGGGCAUGCCAAGGAGCCUGUGGCGGCUUGCCCCGACGCGGGCGCGCCCAGGCAGGAUCGCAGGUGGUGAUACGGUUUGGGUUGUCCGCCCUGCCUAUCUACGAUUUAGCGACCGCUAAUGAGCCGUCGUCUAUGAUAAACAUCAGAAGACAAGCAACAUUCUCCAAAGCUGCAAGAUGCCUUCAGCGAAAGCCAUGCACAAAAUGUUGCCAGCGACGCUCGUAUAAUGCAGCAGGAGCCCACACAGACUAGUCAUUGUUCUAUGCUCCAUAAGCUAUUGCCUGAACAGGGGAGGGUAACUCUGCGCAUGUGCUGUGAAACUUUCUUCAAUUGCGUUUGGACGGGAAGCUUUCCCGUCUGGACGGGAAGCCUUCCCGUCUAGACGGGAUGGGUUCCCGUCUAGACGGGAUGGGUUCCCGUCUAGACGGGAUGGCUUCCCGUCUAGACGGGAUGGGUUCCCGUCUAGACGGGAAGCCUUCCCGUCUGGACGGGUUGGAGUCCCGUCCAGACGAUACGCACAGGAACAUUUAUAUGUUUGCAGGGAUACUUAGUCCUCUGCAGACCAUUUCAGCCCUGUCAGGGAAUUGCAGACGCGACCCUGACAGGAUACCGCAGUUACCUGCAUGACAUUUGUACCCUGCAGAAUACAUAAAUUAUCUUGCAGAAGAAAAAACAUUCCUGGGAUCCCGUUUAGACGGGACUCCAACCCGUCCAGACGGGAAAGCUUCCCGUCCAAACGCAAUUGAAGAACGUUUCACAGCACAUGCGCAGAGUUACCCUCCCCUGUUCAGGCAAUAGCUUAUGGAGCAUAGAACAGGACAAUGACUAGUGUGGGCUCCUGCUGCAUUAUAUGAGCGUCGCUGGCAACAUUUUGUGCAUGGCUUUUGCUGAAGACAUCUUGCAGCUUUGGAGAAUGUUGCUUGUCUUCUGAUGUUUAUCAUAGAUGACGGCUCAUUAGCGGUUGCUAAAUCGUAGAUAGGCAGGGCGGACGACCCGAAUUGUAUCACCACCUGCGAUCCUACCUGGGUGCGCCCACGUCGCCACAAGCACCCAGUCAUGCACCUCGAUGUAAUGAUGCUGCUGGGCGGGCUUGCACCGUCAAGGCAGGUUGCGCAGGCUAACGGGCGCGGUGGCGGGUCCAGUGGGUGUGGGCGGGUGUUGGCUGGAAGCGCAGGCAUGUGGGCGCAGUGGCUGGGGCUGUGGGCAGGGGUACGGGCUGAGGGCGGACAGCACGAACCGUAUCGCCACCUGCGAUGCUACCUGGGCGCACCCGUGUCAGCGCACACCACCGUAGGCACCCCAGCAUGCCGCUUGAUGUAUUGAGGCUGCUGCGUGGGCUUGCACCGUCAAGGCUGGUCGUGCAGGCGUGCUGGCGCCGUGGGUGGGGCUGGGGGAUGGGGGCGAACAUCUUGAACCGGUGUCACCACAUGCGAUGCUACCUAGGCGCACCCGUGUCGGGACACGCCGUCAUAGGCAUUCAGACAUACACCUCGACGUCCUGAUGCUGCUUGGUGGGCUUGCACCGUCAAGGCAGGUGGCGCAGGCGCAUGGGCCCCCCGUGGCGGGGCGGGUGGGGGUAGGGGCUGGGGGCCGACAGCACGAACCGGUGUCACCACCUGCGAUACUACCUUGGCGCACCCGCGUCAGGGCACACCACCGUAGGCACCCCGGCAUGCCGCAUAAUGUCUUGAGGCUGCUGAGUGGACUUGCACCGUCAAGGCAGGUUGUGCAGGCGUGUGGGCGCCGUGGUUGGGGCGGGUGGGUGUUGGGGUGGGGGUGGGAGUGGGGGCUGGGGGUGGGGGGGCUGGGGGCCAACGGCACGAACCGGUGUCACCACCUGCGAUGCUGCCUGGGCGUGUUCGCGUCGGGGUACGCCGCCACAAGCACCCCGGCAUGCCGCUUGAUGUCUUGAGGCUGCUGCGUGGGCUUGCACAGUCAAGGCAGGUGGCGCAGGCGCAUGGGCCCCCCGUGGCCCAGGGGCUCCAUGGUUGGGCGGGUGGGGGUGUGGGCUGGGGGCGGACGGCACGAACCGUAUCACCACCUGCGAUGCUACCUGAAUGCCACCGUGUCGGGGCACACCACCACAUGCACCCAGGCAUGCCCCUGAAUGUCCUGAGGCUGCGACCCGGGCUUGCACCGUCAAGGCAGGUGGCGGGCGGCGGGGCCGGGUGGGGGUAGGGGCUGGGGGCGGACAGCACGAACCGUAUCGCCACCUGUGAUACUACCUUGGCGCACCCGCUCAGGGCACACCACCGUAGGCACUCCGGCAUGCCGCAUAAUGUCUUGAGGCUGCUGCGUGGGCUUGCACCGUCAAGGCAGGUUGUGCAGGCGUGUGGGCGCCGUGGCUGGGGCGGCGGGCAGGAUUAGGGGCUGGAGGCGGACAGCACGAACUAACCGUAUCGCCACCUGUGAUGCUACCUGGGCGUGUUCGCGUCGGGGCACGCCGCCACAGGCACCCAGACAUGGUACUGGAUGUCUUGAGGCUGCUGCGUGGACUUGCACAGUCAAGGCAGGUGGCGCAGGCGCAUUGGCCCCCCGUGGCCCAGGGGCUCCAUGGCGGGGCGGGUGGGGGUGUGGGCUGGGGGCGGACGGCACGAACCGUAUCACCACCUGCAAUGCUACCUGAAUGCCACCGUGUCGGGGCACACCACCACAUGCACCCAGGCAUGCCCCUGAAUGUCCUGAGGCUGCGACCCGGGCUUGCACCGUCAAGGCAGGUGGCGGGCGGCGGGGCCGGGUGGGGGUAGGGGCUGGGGGCGGACAGCACGAACUACACGAACCGUAUCGCCACCUGUGAUACUACCUUGGCGCACCCGCGUCAGGGCACACCACCGUAGGCACCCCGGAAUGCCGCAUAAUGUCUUGAGGCUGCUGCGUGGGCUUGCACCGUCAAGACAGGUUGUGCAGGCGUGUGGGCGCCGUGGCUGGGGCGGCGGGCAGGAUUAGGGGCUGGGGGCGGACAGCACGAACUAACCGUAUCGCCACCUGUGAUGCUACCUGGGCGUGUUUGCGUCGGGGCACGCCGCCACAUGCACCCAGACAUGGUACUGGAUGUCUUGAGGCUGCUGCGUGGACUUGCACAGUCAAGGCAGGUGGCGCAGGCGCAUUGGCCCCCCGUGGCCCAGGGGCUCCAUGGCGGGGCGGGUGGGGGUGUGGGCUGGGGGCGGACGGCACGAACCGUAUCACCACCUGCAAUGCUACCUGAAUGCCACCGUGUCGGGGCACACCACCACAUGCACCCAGGCAUGCCCCUGAAUGUCCUGAGGCUGCGACCCGGGCUUGCACCGUCAAGGCAGGUGGCGGGCGGCGGGGCCGGGUGGGGGUAGGGGCUGGGGGCGGACAGCACGAACCGUAUCGCCACCUGUGAUACUACCUUGGCGCACCCGCGUCAGGGCACACCACCGUAGGCACCCCGGCAUGCCGCAUAAUGUCUUGAGGCUGCUGCGUGGGCUUGCACCAUCAAGGCAGGUUGUGCAGGCGCGUGGGCGCCGUGGGUGGUGCGGUGGGUGGGAGUAGGGGGGGGCGGACAGCACGAACUAACCGUAUCGCCACCUGCGAUACUAACUGGGCGUGUUUGCGUCGGGGCACACCGCCACAGGCACCUCGGCAUGCCGCAUAAUGGCUUGAGGCUGCUGCGUGGGCUUGCACCGUCAAGGCAGGUUGUGCAGGCGUGUGGGCGCCGUGGCUGGGGCGGUGGGCGGGAGUAGGGGCUGGGGGCGGACAGCACGAACCGUAUCGCCUACCUGUGAUGCUACCUGGGCGUGUUCGCGUCGGGGCACGCCGCCACAGGCACCCAGACAUGGUACUAGAUGUCUUGAGGCUGCUGCGUGGACUUGCACAGUCAAGGCAGGUGGCGCAGGCGCAUGGGCCCCCCGUGGUCCAGGGGCUCCAUGGCGGGGCGGGUGGGGGUGUGGGCUGGGGGCGGACGGCACGAACCGUAUCACCACCUGCGAUGCUACCUGAAUGCCACCGUGUCGGGGCACACCACCACAUGCACCCAGGCAUGCCCCUGAAUGUCCUGAGGCUGCGACCCGGGCUUGCACCGUCAAGGCAGGUGGCGGGCGGCGGGGCCGGGUGGGGGUAGGGGCUGGGGGCGGACAGCACGAACCGUAUCGCCACCUGUGAUACUACCUUGGCGCACCCGCGUCAGGGCACACCACCGUAGGCACCCCGGCAUGCCGCAUAAUGUCUUGAGGCUGCUGCGUGGGCUUGCACCGUCAAGGCAGGUUGUGCAGGCGUGUGGGCGCCGUGGCUGGGGCGGCGGGCAGGAUUAGGGGCUGGGGGCGGACAGCACGAACUAACCGUAUCGCCACCUGUGAUGCUACCUGGGCGUGUUCGCGUCGGGGAACGCCGCCACAUGCACCCAGACAUGGUACUGGAUGUCUUGAGGCUGCUGCGUGGACUUGCACAGUCAAGGCAGGUGGCGCAGGCGCAUUGGCCCCCCGUGGCCCAGGGGCUCCAUGGCGGGGCGGGUGGGGGUGUGGGCUGGGGGCGGACGGCACGAACCGUAUCACCACCUGCAAUGCUACCUGAAUGCCACCGUGUCGGGGCACACCACCACAUGCACCCAGGCAUGCCCCUGAAUGUCCUGAGGCUGCGACCCGGGCUUGCACCGUCAAGGCAGGUGGCGGGCGGCGGGGCCGGGUGGGGGUAGGGGCUGGGGGCGGACAGCACGAACCGUAUCGCCACCUGUGAUACUACCUUGGCGCACCCGCGUCGGGGCACACCACCGUAGGCACCCCGGCAUGCCGCAUAAUGUCUUGAGGCUGCUGCGUGGGCUUGCACCAUCAAGGCAGGUUGUGCAGGCGCGUGGGCGCCGUGGGUGGUGCGGUGGGUGGGAGUAGGGGGGGGCGGACAGCACGAACUAACCGUAUCGCCACCUGCGAUACCAACUGGGCGUGUUUGCGUCGGGGCACACCGCCACAGGCACCUCGGCAUGCCGCAUAAUGUCUUGAGGCUGCUGCGUGGGCUUGCACCGUCAAGGCAGGUUGUGCAGGCGUGUGGGCGCCGUGGAUGGGGCGGUGGGCGGGAGUAGGGGCUGGGGGCGGACAGCACGAACUAACCGUAUCGCCUACCUGUGAUGCUACCUGGGCGUGUUCGCGUCGGGGCACGCCGCCACAGGCACCCAGACAUGGUACUAGAUGUCUUGAGGCUGCUGCGUGGACUUGCACAGUCAAGGCAGGUGGCGCAGGCGCAUGGGCCCCCCGUGGUCCAGGGGCUCCAUGGCGGGGCGGGUGGGGGUGUGGGCUGGGGGCGGACGGCACGAACCGUAUCACCACCUGCGAUGCUACCUGAAUGCCGCCGUGUCGGGGCACACCACCAGAUGCACCCAGGCAUGCCCCUGAAUGUCCUGAGGCUGCGACCCGGGCUUGCACCGUCAAGGCAGGUGGCGGGCGGCGGGGCCGGGUGGGGGUAGGGGCUGGGGGCGGACAGCACGAACUACACGAACCGUAUCGCCACCUGUGAUACUACCUUGGCGCACCCGCGUCAGGGCACACCACCGUAGGCACCCCGGAAUGCCGCAUAAUGUCUUGAGGCUGCUGCGUGGGGGCCGGGCGGCGGGGCUGGGUGGGCAUCAAUGGCUUGGUUCUGUGCUGUGUGCAUGCAAUAACUGCUGUAUGUGGCUGCAGGACCUACCGCGGCUCGUUAGGUGGAUUACCCAGGAGGCGUGGUGUUGGUGGGGAAUAAGUAGAAUAAGUUUGGGAUCAGUGGGCUUGACACCAGGCUCGAUGUCAAGGUAGUCAAGGCAGGUGUAAAUUGGUUGGUGUAAGAGGCCUGCUUGCAGUGUAGGGGAGGACAUCAAGUCGAUCACUGGACAUGUGAGGGGACAUGUGAGGGGACAUGUAUGUGAGGGGGCGGGUGAGGGGAUUUGGGCAUAACUAGAGUAACAGGGCAGGGGUACCAGGGGGCAACAAGGGAUACAAGUGGGAGAGUAGUUGAAGGGGGCCCAAACACCCUCAUGCGCUAACGCAGCCCUGAGCAUAAGAACUGUGAGAGACAAAUGUCUUGUAUCAAAAGAGCUGUCAUAUUGCUGUUGUGGAAAGUGUAUUGCUGUUGUCGAAAGUGUCAGGUUAGCCAGAUGCCUGGUGAAUUACUGUGUCAGGGGCCAUACAUGGUACUCAAGCAAAAUGUUCUCCCAUGCAUAAAGCAUAUAAAAGCUUUUGAAGUAGAGCUAGUAGAGCAGGACUUGUGGAGCCCAUGUUUGAUAGGGGUUGACGUGCUAAAUGGUGUCUGGGCAACUGCUUGUUGAUAGUGUUGGCUGGUAAUAGUUGUAGUAGUCUGUAGGAGCUGGGGCCCAAGGCUGUGAAACCCUGUUACAUCACACGUUACAAAGGUCUUGGGAUUCAUCUACACACUCCCCUGUGUGUGGCCCAAGUAGAUCUGCAGGGAAGUAUGGUAUGUUCCUGUGGCAGGAAAGUUCACACCGCUGUUCACAGCUACUCGGGCAUUUUAGUCCUGAGAGGGGCAGGAGCCAUCCCUCUAGGGCACCCACAGGUGGGCCAUGCAUUGCCACCUGCCAUACCUGCAUCAGCACCCCAACUCCUAGUCCCAGCCUGAUUAUACAAUGCACCAUGUGCCAACACUCCAUACAAAUGCUGGAAACACAAACAGCCAACUGCCCCACAGCCACCUGGACCCACAUAUCCCUCCCCCCCCCCCCGCCUCCUUAGGGGCACCCACAGGUGGGCCAUGCAUUGCCACCUGCCAUACCUGCAUCGGCACCCCAACUCCUAGUCCCAGCCUGAUUAUACAAUGCACCAUGUGCCAACACUCCAUACAAAUGCUGGAAACACAAACAGCCAACUGCCCCACAGCCACGUGGACCCACAUAUCCCUCCCCCCCCCGCCCGCCUCCUUAGGGGCACCAUCAGAUGGGCCAUGCAUUGCCACCUGCCAUACCUGCAUUGGCACCCCAACUCCUAGUCCCAGCCUGAUUAUUCAAUGCACCAUGUGCCAACACUCCAUACAAAUGCUGGAAACACAAACAGCCAACUGCCCCACAGCCACCUGGACCCACAUAUCCCUCCCCCCCCCGCCUCCUUAGGGGCACCCACAGGUGGGCCAUGCAUUGCCACCUGCCAUACCUGCAUCAGCACCCCAACUCCUAGUCCCAGCCUGAUUAUACAAUGCACCAUGUGCCAACACUCCAUACAAAUGCUGGAAACACAAACAGCCUACUGCCCCACAGCCACCUGGACCCACAUAUCCCUCCCCCCCCGCCUCCUUAGGGGCACCCACAGGUGGGCCAUGCAUUGCCACCUGCCAUACCUGCAUCGGCACCCCAACUCCUAGUCCCAGCCUGAUUAUUCAAUGCACCAUGUGCCAACACUCCAUACACAUGCUGGAAACACAAACAGCCAACUGCCCCACAGCCACCUGGACCCACAUAUCGCUCCUGCAUCCUUAUAAUGGGGCGGCUUGGUUUCUCAGGCAUUCUCUAAUGGUGGAGCGCCUAUCUUCAGCUCAGUUUCUGGGUCUCUCUCGUGGGGCGGCUUUGUGCUCAGGCGUUCUCUAAUGGUGGAGCGCCUCUCUUCAGCUCAAGUACUUGGCGUCUGCUUUAUCUGGCAGCCAGCCCCUUUCUUUGACAUGGGACGUUACAGGCAGGGGACCAGGCAACGACAAGGCGGGCAGCAAGCAACAGGCAGCAAGCAAAACCGCGCCCCUUAGACCACAGGAGGAGAAAGGACCCGCAAUGCAACCACACCAAACGGGAAGGGGAGCCAGGCACCUGCUNNNNNNNNNNNNNNNNNNNNNNNNNNNNNNNNNNNNNNNNNNNNNNNNNNNNNNNNNNNNNNNNNNNNNNNNNNNNNNNNNNNNNNNNNNNNNNNNNNNNGGCAGCGGCAAUGGACCAGGUAGGCGCAGUAAAGGCAGACCCAUUUUGGUACAGUGUGACACCGUACUCUUUUGCCAGGGUCAUCUGUUUCAGCGUCGUCAGGUGGUGUGACCUAUGGGCUGGGAGAAGGUGGGCCUGUGUGGAGCCAGCUAUGCUUGCCUGGCGCGGCAGAAGGGCUCGGGUUACUAUCCCAAGACGGCCCGAGUCAUUUAGGGCAAGGACCAGGGCCCGCUGGGCCACGCGCGCGUAUUGCGGCAGGAGGGAGCCCAGGCCCAAGCCGUAUUCGUCGGCGGGCAGGAGGGAGGUCCGGGUGGGGAAGCUGCGGGGGAGUCCGUAGCAGCGCUUUGCAUAACCAGCCAGGGUAGUGUCGAGCGUUGUUAUGUCCUGUUUUGUGAAGGGCAUUGCUGCGAAUCCAUAUGCAACUGUGGUGUGCACGCACUGUUGUAUCAUGCGCAGGCGUUGUGCCGGUGUCGCCAGGGAUGUGGCAAUGGCUGUGCCCUUGUCCUUAACAAUCUCGGUGACUCUUGCGACAUGUGCCGACCAGUCCAGCGAGAACGUGAGCUGCACUCCCAGGUACUUGUACGGCUGGGUCGGGGGGAAGUACGGGACAGGGGUCGUGCCAAUCUUAAUUGUGUUGGUCAUGUUGCGGCGCAUGGCGGCAAGGGUAGCUUUUCCUGUGGGCCCGUCAAGGUUGGGGUCCGAGCGAGAUUUGUCGUGCCAGAUGGCGGUGGUGGCACACUUGGUGUGAUUGACACGCAGGCUCGCCCACUCGGCGUAAGAUGCGAUUUUGUCACAUUGAACCUGCAGGUCGUCGAGCGAGUUGGUGAGCGCCGCCAGGUCGUCUGCGUACGCGGCGGCACUGCAAUGGUAUUGCAGGUUUUCGCUGGGGGUCAGGCAGCCGUAGUGGUAGCCCCGUCCACCCGCAUGGAGCCAGCGGACAAGAGGUUCCAUGAACAGAAUAAAGAGCACAGGUGAGAGUGUAUCACCUUGCACGGUGCCUCGCUCUAUAGGAAUGGCGGAUGUGCUUCCGUGUUCGGUGCGGAUGCGGGUGGUCGCAUGUGCAUACAGGUUGCGGACUGCGCGGAUCAGGUCCGUUGGCAGCCCAAGGUCAAACAUUAUUUGUAGUAAUCGGUCCUGGUCGAUUGUGUUAAACGCGGAGCUAUAGUCCACGUAUACCGCAUAGACAUCUUUUCCAAACAGUGCGGCAUCCUCAAGGGCAUGUACCAAAUUUAGGACCUGCCUUUCGGUGUUGCAGUAGGCACGGAAGCCUUCCUGCGCUUCACUGAAUAGCUGGAGGGGGCCAGCCAGUUCGCCAAUGCCCAAGGUAAGCAUGGACGUGUACAGCUUGUAGCAGGUAUUUGCGAGCGCAAUGGGCCGUUUGUUUUUUAUGUCCAGGGCGUCUCCAGGUUUGGGGAGUAGCACGGUCUCCGAUGCGGCCCAGGUUUCAGGUAUUUGUGACUUGACGUACAUGAUUUGCAGGAUACAGUGGAGGUUGCGCUUCAUGCCUGAUGGCAGGAUACGGAGCAGUUCGUUUGGUAUGCCGUCAGGGCCUGUCGCCUUGUUUCUGGAGAGGUGAGAAAUGCACUGCUCAAAAUUUGCCGUGUCUGCCAUGCUGGGGAGCAUGGAGUGUGUGUCAGGGUGCCGGUUGCGGUCCAGUGUGAAUUGAUCUGUUGCGUCGGCUUUCUCAAAUGGGUAGCCGCGUGUGGCGUUGCUGGGUAGUCGGAAGUCCCCAGUGCGGGUGCCGCGUGGUGGGGCGGACAGCUUUCGGAAGUGGGUUUCGAGUAUGGCGAGGAUGCUGGUGGAGUCAGUCGUCACCUCCCCAGUUUCUGGGUUCCGGACCGCUGGGAGACCCCGUUCCAUGUCUUCCUUCUGAAAGAUUCUCUUGUGCCCCUGUGCAGGGCGCGUGGCCAGGGUAUGUUGCAGCGCUGUGGCAGCGGCCUCUCGCUGGGCUUUGGCGCGGUCCGCCACUAGCUGGCGGUGCUCGGCCUGGCAGGCCUUUAUUUCGUUCCGCAGCUUUGCUGCCGCAUUGGCGGCGUCAACCUCAGGUAGGGCCUGGGGCCCUUGCGUGAGGUUUGUCAGUUGUGUCUUCAGGGCCACUUCCUUGUCCCAUAGGGGCUUUAGCACCCGUGCGGUGGAGCGUGAUGCGUGGUGUUUGCCAGUGAAGGGGGCUUUCCGGGUGCACUCUUCAAGGAGGCAUGUUAGCCCGGUGUCCAGUGCGGAGGCAAGUUGUUCUGCAAGUUGGUUGAUAUCGGCCUUCUGGAUGCUCGUGUCCUGCGCCAGGUCUCGGUGCAUGACGCUGGCGGGGUAGCCUGUGGGGUCCGUGCUGUGCCUUGUGAGUGCAUGUUCAAUUGAUUGCGUUGCCUGCCUUGUUGCGGAAUGCAGGUCGGCUGUUGCUUCCACCAAGGCUUCCUCCACUCGGGGAAAGCCGCUCAUCCGAAUCUGGUCCGAAGUUGGUCCGAAGAUCUGUCCGAAACCUGAUCCGAAGCCUGGUCCGAAAGACCAUCCGAAGCUGGUCCGAGUUCCUGUCCGAAAGACCCCACCCCUGUCCGAAGUUUUUGUCUCCGAAGCUGGUCCGAAGUCGGUCCGAAUCUGGUCCGAAUAGCAUCCGAAUUACAAGUAUUUCGGACACUUUUGUCGGAUGCCAAGAUUCGGACGCAAUGUUCGGACCAGACCGGCCAUCCGAAUGGCAAUUCGGACGCGCCCAGCCCCAUUUCGGACACGCCCAGCUGUUGAUUCGGACGCACCCAGCCCCAUUUCGGACAUGCCCAGGCGUCAAUUUGGACACGCCCAACACCAUUUCGGACGCCGCCACCACCCGCUGCUGCCCAGUGCCCCGCCUGCUGCGCUUUUGUGGUGUCUACAGACACCGUUGCAUGUCCUGUCAUGCCCUUGUCAUGUAGCAGCGGCUCCCCUGCCCUUGUUCAACCCUGUACACAUACCCUUUUUGCUUGCUCCUGGGUCCCUUUGGCUACCUCGUCGCGCUCCUCGGCCCUACACAUGCGCCUCCAUGUUUGCGCACAUAUCACCUGCAUACACAGCACCACCGGCGUUGCAAGAGGCAUGGUGACAAGCCUUUCCCCGAGAUACAUGCUGUAUCUCACAUGCUGUAUACAUGCCCUGUCCGUUGAGCUGCCCACUGCACACAUGUCUUGGUGCUCCUUUUCAUGUGGAUUGCAUCACGAAAUCUGACUUACCACCAAAACGCAAAAGCGCCAUUGCCAGCAGCACAUGCACCGAUGCCGAGACGAAGGUUGACAUGAGAAUAGGGCGGCCGGGGAAUUGCAAGCAGAUAUUUGCAUGCAUAAGCAAUUGCAAACUAUUAGGACCCCGUGCGAAAGCGCAGGCAGGGCAGACGAAUGGUUGUUGACCGCGACAGGAAAACACUGCUGUAGACGUUUUGAGCUGAUACAAUGCGAGUUCUCAGUCAAAAACUUACAUUCUUGGGCCGUGAGCCUGUUUGGCCUUGAAUUUCGUGCAGGUCGGCGAAGGUCAGCGACAAAUCCUCCACUUUGACCAAGUUUGUAGCACCUCCGCCAACCCCUCAGGCAUGCUCGCAAGCUUGUGUCUAACAUAGUUGCUAUGAAUAGCAUCGUGCAGUAUCAUAGAGGGUUUGAGAACGUGGAACACUGCAUGCCGAUAUCGCUUGCAACAGAGAUAGGCUGUAACAGGCUAGCGAUACAUUUAACAACUUGUUAGUAUUAAAUCUGUAGUGUAUAGUAUGAGUCUUAUAAGAGAGUCAUACUAUUAAGUUGAGAAGCUGAAUGUCGGGUCUCCCCAUGCAGCAGCGCUGCCCCAUUGCGCAUGCCAGCUCGCCUCCCUUCUGGUAAUGCCAUUGCUAGGACGCUUAAUCCAAUGUAUGCGGCUGCGUCGGAUGCGGGCAUGGGAUGCAUGUGCCUGCCGCGCAGAUGGGGCCACACAAGCAGGCCACGCCCAGAAACACACUUCCCCACAGCAUACGCACACAGGACACGCCCCGCUGGGCUGCCAGCUUGAAGACACGCACAGUUGGCCAUCGUGCUGUGUUAGGCCAAGCGAUGGGCGUUGGUUGCGUCGGAUGCGGGCAUGGAUGGGAUGCAUGUGCCUGCCGCUCAGGUGGGGCCACACAAGCAGGCCACGCCCGGAAACACAGUUUCCCACAGCGCACACACACAGAACACGCCCCGCUGGGCUGCCAGCUUGAAGACACGCACAGUUGGCCAUUGCGCUGUGUUGAGUCAAGCAUUGGGCGCUGGUUAUGUCCGAUGCGGGCAUGGGAUGCAUGUGCCUGCCGCGCAGAUGGGGCCACACAAGCAGGCCACGCCCAGAAACACACUUCCCCACAGCAUACGCACACAGGACACGCCCCGCUGGGCUGCCAGCUUGAAGACACGCACAGUUGGCCAUCGUGCUGUGUUAGGCCAAGCGAUGGGCGCUGGUUGCGUCGGAUGCGGGCAUGGAUGGGAUGCAUGUGCCUGCCGCUCAGGUGGGGCCACACAAGCAGGCCACGCCCAGAAACACUCUUCCCCACAGCAUACGCACACAGAACACACCCCGUUGGGCUGCCCGCGUGGAGACACACGCAGUUGGGCAUUGUGCUGUGUUGGGCCAAGUGACAAACAACAAGCACCCCGCCCACGCCCACAGCAUUGCCCUUGCUCACACCCUUGCACUUGCCCCUGCCCCUGUACACGCAAACGCGCACGCAUGCACGCAAGCACGCACGCACACACGCACACAGGUGCACACCCACGCGCACGCACACGCACACACGCCCGCACAAGCGUGCACACACACCCACAAAUGCACAAGCUCAUGCUCAUGUACGCACAUACGCGUGCGCGUCAAUACACACGCACCUCGUGUACACACGAGCACACGCAUACACAAGCCCACAUAUGCACACACACACACAUACUGUCCUACGCGUAAUGUUUUCCUUGUGCUCUUUAACACACACACACACACACAUGCGCACACACACACACACACACACACACACACACACACACACACACACACACACACACACACACACACGCCUUUGGCAGAAGGUACGCUGGGAAUGGUGACACUUUGAGACGCUGUGGCGGUUGGCCAUUGACGCAGUGCCGCUGCCGGGAAACUCGCAUACGCCGUUGGCUCGCCGUGAGCCAUGCGGCUGUGGGCAGCACGGCCAUGGGGGCGCCGCGGCGGAGGCACACGCCGCCGCCGCGCCCACGCCACGGCAGCACCACUUCUGGGAUUGCGCGGUGGCGAAGGCCGUUGUGGCGCAGAUUAACGCACACAACCCCGGUCCGGCUCCCAUCAGCCAAGCCCAGCUGUGGCUGGUCCAGGCGCCGCCGGGUUUUCAGCAGUGUGUUUGGGACAUGGUGGUGAUGGACACGCCUGCGAGUGGAUUGCCUCUUUAAUGUCUACUAUCAAUAGCUACUCGGCAUUAGGUGAGGUGUGAGCAUCAGGGGAUAAAGAAUUCGAGGUGUACGCGACGAACGGAAAACCCACCGGGGUCGAUGGGUUUUUUUCGUUUCGCACACAAGCCGUAUUCCUCAAUUCUUAUUGUCUGUACCACUUUAUAGAGCCAAACUGUAUUCGUUUGUCAUCAACAAUGCAUCCAACACCAGCCGCAGACUGUGCGAGGAGGGAUUGAUUUCGAACUUAGCUGGCAGACCUCACUAGAAUGACUGUCUUCUCCCGGUUCGGUUGCCUUGGGAACCCCACUCAAAUGCUACAUGAGCUUGGUCGGGCAGUGGAGCGUGCGCGGCAUUGGAAGUCCACUUUCAAGCGGCAAUUCUUCCUCGCGGCAGUUUCGCUGGGGAAGUGUGAGCCCGGCAGCCAGCUGGUGGUCUACAAGGAUGGCGUGGAGUACACCACACUCGGGGAAAGCCGCUCAUCCGAAUCUGGUCCGAAGUUGGUCCGAAGAUCUGUCCAAAACCUGAUCCGAAGCCUGGUCCGAAAGACCAUCCGAAGCUGGUCCGAGUUCCUGUCCGAAAGACCCCACCCCUGUCCGAAGUUUUUGUCUCCGAAGCUGGUCCGAAGUCGGUCCGAAUCUGGUCCGAAUAGCAUCCGAAUUACAAGUAUUUCGGACACUUUUGUCGGAUGCCAAGAUUCGGACGCAAUGUUCGGACCAGACCGGCCAUCCGAAUGGCAAUUCGGACGCGCCCAGCCCCAUUUCGGACACGCCCAGCUGUUGAUUCAGACGCGCCCAGCCCCAUUUUGGACACGCCCAGCUGUUGAUUCGGACGCACCCAGCCCCAUUUCGGACAUGCCCAAGCGUCAAUUUGGACACGCCCAACACCAUUUUGGACGCCACCACCACCCGCUGCUGCCCAGUGCCCCGCCUGCUGCGCUUUUGUGGUGUCUACAGACACCGUUGCAUGUCCUGUCAUGCCCUUGUCAUGUAGCAGCGGCUCCCCUGCCCUUGUUCAACCCUGUACACAUACCCUUUUUGCUUGCUCCUGGGUCCCUUUGGCUACCUCGUUGCGCUCCUCGGCCCCACACAUGCGCCUCCAUGUUUGCGCACAUCCCUAUGGCACCCAAAUGGUGGUAAGGAUCCAAAAACGGGGGUGACGAUCCCCGGACAGGGGGUAACGAUUGUUUCGGGCCCGCACGGCCUGGCACGCCCAGGACGCAAGCCAAGUGGUGCUGUGGUCACAUCUUAGCUACUUGUCAUGCAUACGCACAUUGCAGACUGGGCGGAGUGCCUUGCGUCUCCGACAAGUGAACAUGCCGACAUUCUAGUCUGCAAAGUGCGUAUUGUAGUGACAGUUUGUGUUAAAACAGUCUAUAAUGUGAAGCCUUAAACUUAUGUAGUCUUUGCGCUCGUGAACGAGGAAGUCUGGGGGCUGUAGGCCGACUGUGUGACAUUGUGACAGGGACCCUUGGGCGUGGUAACGACCCUAAGCCAGGGGUAACGGGGUUCCUGCAUGGGGUUCUCGCGGGCCUGACUUAACAAGCAGCAUAGAGCGGCCCCUGAUACUAAUACACAUAUACUGAUAUAGUACCAUACAUAUACUGAUACACUGCACUUCAUGCCGGUGCCGCUGCACUUCUGUUCCUCUCCCCCACUUUGCUCUCUCGCGCUUGCUACUUCUCUUUGUAACACAAAUUUAUGCUAGCUCAAAUGUCAGUAGAACAAGAGCUGGCGGCAGACGCUGCUUGGCUGGCUUGGGACGCGAGUCCUCACGCUGCUGACUGCUCGUUGACCGGCUUGGCAACGCUGCUCACACGUCAGCUGCAGCCAGCUAUUACUUGAGAGAAACGACUAUGCCUCAUAAUCUAUCAGCUGCGCUUCAAAUGUCCGACCGAGAAGUCUCGGCGGUCGCCGGCGUCAACAACGCCAUUCAACAUCGUGUUCUGUCAACAUCACCCUCGCCCCGCACGCCAGAGUCCGCAGGUUAGUCUGCAGGUUAGUCCGCAGGUUGAAUGACGAUGGGAUGCGUUGAACCUAGUGGUACCUCGCAAGCCAGUGUGCAUGGUUCAUCUUCUCGCGCUGUGUUGGGUUGUUUGGUGGAGCCCCCGCCUACAACUAGUGACUGUCUGCUGCCUCCCUUACCAGCGCUCGCUGUAAGGUGUUUUUAUGGCUCCCUUGCCACGGUGCCUUGUGUCUCACAUACCACCCCGCCCCCCUCCGCACGCACACACCCUGCCCCGCGACAGCUUGCUGCCCAACCCCUGUUGUACCCUAUGGACCGUAUGGUUGGCUGGACUGCCCCUACACCUCCAGCAUUGUGCUCAUCAACGGUGAGUGUCCGUGACACGUGUGGGCGCGCACACAUGCACAUGUGCACACAGACACGCCUUGUGUGGUAGGCCCCGUGCACUGCCAAGCACUCUGUCCAUGGCUGGCCUUGACAUGCAUUGGCACCUACCCGUCUUGUGGCAGACGAUUAACUGGGUGUGUCUAUGUGUGUGCACGCAUGCAUGCAGUCGCUGCCGGUGGAAGCAAAACUACAGGAGCCAGCGUGACACCAGCUGUCUGGCGCUAGAGAUGGAGGCGGGCGCGGCGGCGCCAGUGGCAUAGUUUGGCAUGGUAGCUGUGGUGGCGGCGGGCGUCAAGGUGGUGGGUCAGAGACGUUGUGCCCAGCAGACAUGCAAGUGGUUGCUGCCAGUGGCUAGUUGCACGUUCACAUGCAGACAUGACUAGGCGUAUUGUUGCAUGUACAUAUGGACUUGCGGUAGUGUUGCAUAAGUGUUGCAUGAGCAUCUGCACUUGUCGUGCUAUCAAGCCUUGACAGAUGGCUAGCAUGUGGAGUAGCGGUAGGACUACAUAGUUCUUACGUUAGUACUGAGGUAGGCCUUCAGCAAAGCACAAGGCUGCCAUGUAACGGGCGUCAAAGUGAUGGUUACUGGUGUGCCUUGUAGACCGUGACAAGGCUGUUACCAUGGCUGGUUAAGAUGGUAAGCAGAUCGUAGUGAGAUCGUAACGAUGCCGGAGGGGUAACGAUCUACGACCUAGGUAACAGCGAUCGUAACGAUCGUUUGGGUGCCAUAGGGCAUAUCACCUGCAUACACAGCACCACCGGCGUUGCAAGAGGCAUGGUGACAAGCCUUUCCCCGAGAUACAUGCUGUAUCUCACAUGCUGUAUACAUGCCCUGUCCGUUGAGCUGCCCACUGCACACAUGUCUUGGUGCUCCUUUUCAUGUGGAUUGCAUCACGAAAUCUGACUUACCACCAAAAUGCAAAAGCGCCAUUGCCAGCAGCACAUGCACCGAUGAGACGAAGGUUGACAUGAGAAUAAGGCGGCCGGGGAAUUGCAAGCAGAUAUUUGCAUGCAUAAGCAAUUGCAAACUAUUAGGACCCCGUGCGAAAGCGCAGGCAGGGCAGACGAAUGGUUGUUGACCGCGACAGGAAAACACUGCUGUAGACGUUUUGAGCUGAUACAAUGCGAGUUCUCAGUCAGAAACUUACAUUCUUGGGCCUUGAGCCUGUUUGGCCUUGAAUUUUGUGCAGGUCGGCGAAGGUCAGCGACAAAGGCCUCCACUUUGACCAAGUUUGUAGCACCUCCGCCAACCCCUCAGGCAUGCUCGCAAGCUUGUGUCUAACAUAGUUGCUAUGAAAUAGCAUCGUGCAGUAUCAUAGAGGGUUUGAGAACGUGGAACACUGCAUGCCGAUAUCGCUUGCAACAGAGAUAGGCUGUAACAGGCUAGCGAUACAUUUAACAACUUGUUAGUAUUAAAUCUGUAGUGUAUAGUAUGAGUCUUAUAAGAGAUCAUACUAUUAAGUUGAGAAGCUGAAUGUCGGGUCUCCCCAUGCAGCAGCGCUGCCCCAUUGCGCAUGCCAGCUCGCCUCCCUUCUGGUAAUGCCAUUGCUAGGACGCUUAAUCCAAUGUAUGCGGCUGCGUCGGAUGCGGGCAUGGGAUGCAUGUGCCUGCCGCUCAGAUGGGGCCACACAAGCAGGCCACGCCCGGAAACAAGGUUUCCCACAGUGCAUGCACACAGAACACACCCCGUUGGGCUGCCCGCGUGGAGACACACGCAGUUGGGCAUUGCGCUGUGUUGGGCCAAGCGAUGGGCGCUGGUUGCGUCGGAUGCGGGCAUGGGAUGCAUGUGCCUGCCGCGCAGAUGGGGCCACACAAGCAGGCCACGCCCGGAAACACAGUUUCCCACAGUGCACGCACACAGAAGACACCCCGUUGGGCUGCCCGCGUGGAGACACACGCAGUUGGGCAUUGCGCUGUGUUGGGCCAAGUGACAAACAACAAGCACACGCCCACGCCCACAGCCUUGCCCUUGCUCACACCCUUGCACUUGCCCCUGCCCCUGUACACGCAAACGCGCACGCAUGCACGCAAGCACGCAUGCACGCACGCACACAGGUGCACACCCACGCGCACGCACACGCACACGCGCCCGCACAAGCGUGCACACACACCCACAAAUGCACAAGCUCAUGCUCACGUACGCACAUACGCGCACCUCGUGUACACACGAGCACACGCAUACACAAGCCCACAUAUGCACACACACACACUGUCCUACACGUAAUGUUUUCCUUGUGCUCUUUAACACACACACACACACACACACACACACACAUGCGCACACACACACACACACACACACACACACACACACACACACACACACACACACACACACACACACACACACACACACACACACACACACACACACACACACGCCUUUGGCAGAAGGUACGCUGGGAACGGUGACACUUUGAGACGCUGUGGCGGUUGGCCAUUGACGCAGUGCCGCUGCCGGGAAACUCGCAUACGCCGUUGGCUCGCCGUGAGCCAUGCGGCUGUGGGCAGCACGGCCAUGGGGGCGCCGCGGCGGAGGCACACGCCGCCGCCGCGCCCACGCCAUGGCAGCACCACUUCUGGGAUUGCGCGGUGGCGAAGGCCGUUGUGGCGCAGAUCAACGCACGCAACCCCGGUCCGGCUCCCAUCAGCCAAGCCCAGCUGUGGCUGGUCCAGGCGCCGCCGGGUUUUCAGCAGUGUGUUUGGGACGUGGUGGUGAUGGACACGGCUGGGAGUGGAAUGCGUCUUUAAUGUCUACUAUCAAUAGCUACUCGGCAUUAGGUGAGGUGUGAGCAUCAGGGGAUAAAGAAUUCGAGGUGUACGCGACGAACGGAAAACCCACCGGGGUCGAUGGGUUUUUUUUCGUUUCGCACACAAGCCGUAUUCCUCAAUUCUUAUUGUCUGUACCACUUUAUAGAGCCAAACUGUAUUCGUUUGUCAUCAACAAUGCAUCCAACACCAGCCGCAGACUGUGCGAGGAGGGAUUGAUUUCGAACUUAGCUGGCAGACCUCACUAGAAUGACUGUCUUCUCCCGGUUCGGUUGCCUUGGGAACCCCACUCAAAUGCUACAUGAGCUUGGUCGGGCAGUGGAGCGUGCGCGGCAUUGGAAGUCCACUUUCAAGCGGCAAUUCUUCCUCGCGGCAGUUUCGCUGGGGAAGUGUGAGCCCGGCAGCCAGCUGGUGGUCUACAAGGAUGGCGUGGAGUACAUCGGCACCCUGCCCGCAACAGCAAAGCCGUUCCUGCUCUUCGGCACGACGUUUGUCCCCAGCAGGCCGCGGGGGGCGCCAGCGCCCGAGGUGGGCAGCAGAGGACACUGUGACCAGUCCAGCUGCAGACACUUAGGCACCCCCUUAAAUGUACUGCUGUUUACGCAGAACCCCCCCGUGCCAGUGACCUUGAUGGAGCUCACGGGGUCCAAGUCAAAGCCCGAGCGGGCAUGCGACUACGUGCGGGAGGGCGGCGCCCUGCUGGUGCAGGAAAUCAUGGCGGGGCAAGAGGGGUGGCUGCAGGCAGACCUGAGCGGCAAGGCAAGAAUGCUGCUGGAGAUUGCCGCACUGGAGGGCGCUCCCACACCGGGCACCCUCGCAGCAAACAACCCCACGUACAACUACGCGGUCCGCGCUUUUGAGGAUGCCGCACAGGUGCGAAAGGCUUCCCGGUGAUUACAGGUGCUGCCCAACUACGGCCAUGUUGUACUGCUCCUGACCCACGUCCUCCGAUAGAUUAUGAUGGCCACUCACACACUUAACCAUGCAGGAGCUGACCAACAAGGCCGUGGCGCAGCAGCUGGCAGAGGAGCGGGCACAGGCACAGCAGCUGGCAGAGGCGCAGGCGCAGGUGCAGCAGCUGGCAGAGGCGCGGGCGCAGGCGCAGCAGCUGGCAGAGGCGCAGGCGCAGGUGCAGCAGCUGGCAGAGGCGCAGGCGCAGGCGCAGCAGCUGGCAGAGGCGCAGGCGCAGGCGCCGGUGGUACAGGGGUGGUCACCCGAAGACCAACAGCCUGGCGGCUCGGCUGGGCCCGCGGAGUACGUGCCGGCUACAGAGCUCACUGAGGCGGGCAGUGAUGCCGGCACCGACACGACACAGGACACAAAGCAGCUCGGCGCCGCCAGUACCCGCACCAGCGAGCCGCCUGCACGUCGCGUACCUGCUUCUUUGACCCAGCAGCGUAUGGCUGGGGAGGUCAGCAACAGUGGCGCAAGUGGUGAACCACCGAGAUUUACCGUUGCAAGGUCAAGGAGGUGCCACCUGCCCUGCAGUGCGGCCUGGGCCUUGCCGCCGUGCGUCUGCCGGCAACGCUUACAAGGCUGAUCAACCCUCGCCUGAUCGCGGAGCUGGCGUCGCUGGCGGACAAACGCGGAGAGCAGAUCUUCCAGCGCAUCUCAGCACUGCAGGGCGUGCAGGCGGAGAUCCGGAUGAGCGUGGGGACGGGCCAGCGGGUUCAGGUGCUGUGGAAGGACCUCGCGGGCAGCGCUGGGCUCCUGGUGCUCUGCGACAAACUGCGACCGUUGCUGGAGGAGGUCGUGACAGCGGCAGACCCGAAGGGUGAGCUGGGGCUGCACCUGGAGGACGCCGUGCUGCUGGCGAACCUGCCCGGCACUCGUCCGGUUGCCGAGCAGGUGCCCCACUACGACAUGGCGCCAGGGGAGCCCGGGUGGUUCAUCAUGCUCGCCCUCCAGCCGGCAAGCCUGCUGGUGGCGCAGGCCAGUCAGCACGAGGUCCUGCUGUGGGGCCGCGCGUACACCGCAGCACAGGAGGCGGGCCGGACUGCAGCUGUGCUGAAGGACCUCUGCGCCAGCACCCCCCACCGGCGGCUGGUGCGCCUGCAGCUGCCGGUGGGCGAGUUGCUGUUCGUGCACUCCAACCUCGUGCAUGCAGGCGACGCCGGGCGACUGGAUGGCAGCUACUCCCUGCGGCUGCACUGGUUCGUGAAGAGUGCGAAAACAACGAACAACACCCACCUGCCGCGCCAGAUCCACGUGGAGCUCGAGAAGCGCUUUGUGUGAUGGCUCAGACACACUCAGGAUGAAGGGGCGGGGCGGGGCGGGGCGGGGCGGGGCGGGGCGGGGCGGGGCGGGGCGGGGCGGGGCGGGGCGGGGCGGGGCGGGGCGGGGCGGGGCGGGGCGGGGCGGGGCGGGGCGGGGCGGGGCGGGGCCGGGUGGCGGGGCGGCCACAUUGGGAAGGUGAAUAUGCUUGUCAAUUAGGUUGUGUGGGAAAUAGAACAGGUUCAUCAGUGUGGCGGCAAGACAAACCAAGUUGACACGCGCUGUCACUCGUCUGGGUUCUGUCUGUGUUGCACCCUAGCAUUCUUACGGCUUCGUCGUCAGGGUAAAAGCUUGUCCCCUUGACAUAUGAACAGUUUGUGUGGCGAGGUUGUCAUGACCAGGGACUGGAGCGAGAUUAGAGAUGGGCCAGGGCGGGCCCCCUGACACCUCAGCACUGUUUAGUCCAGAAGUUCCCGGUUCUAAUUAAGCCUACUUUUUGGUGGUAGUUGCGACAUCAUUAUCUGACACCGUGCGGAAGUGAAGGUGGGGGUGGGUGGGGGCAGCAGUUGUUUGUUUGCUGCAAUCGCACGUCCAUGGACGCAACUCUAAACUGCUGGUUCUACGGACUGAAACGUUUCAGUCCGUAGAACCAGUACUGUGUGAGAAUCAAGAAGCCACUAGCAAAGCUUAAAGUUACAGGAAUUACUAUGUUGGCGGGCGGCCCUCCUUUGGGCCGGCCAUCCGAAUCAAUCGGCCUGUCCGAAAUGGGCCGCCCAGGCCUCUGGGCUGGGCGCCCAGACUGCCCCUCCCAUCCGAACCUCCCGGUCUGAACUUUUCGGACCGGCUUCGGACCAGCUUCGGACCAGGUUCGGACGUCAAACCCCGGUUUCGGACGCCUUGGUUUUCCCCGAGUGAUAUGGCCACAAGCAAAGCGUCGUUGCAUGCACAAACCAUCUCAUCCCAGCCAGCCGCCGAAUGCAUGCGUGCAUCCCUGCUGCCAGCCUACCGUGGAUCAACUGCCUGCUAUCUAUCUAGUUGCGUGAGUCCGCCUACGACCGUACUGAUCCCCAUAAUGUACCACCACGCCUGCCCUGGCGACCUGGCUUGUCGCAGCUUGUCCCAGGCCUGAUUGGUGGUGCACGGGCAGCUCCAGGGCCAUUCUCCUGGAGGAUGUGGACUGUGAUGGAGACGACCUGCUGGACUCGGUGUGUUACGACCUGGCGGGCAAUCCAGGCAUCAUCGGCUCAGGGAUUGACUGCACGGACACCUGGCCCUCCGUGGCAGCCUCCUAUUGCCCGCCUGUUUUCAACGGUACGAACGCUAGCUAUGACGGGCACGCGCACGGGCAUAUGGCAAUGCAUAUAGAUGCACGUACGACCACCUGCACGCAAAUCCUAUACUGCCUAUAAUCAGAAUCUUUGCGCCUGAUAUGAGUGAUGCUUGCUCCUUUCCUGACCCGGCCUGCCCUUCCCCACCGCUUCUCAAUUAGGGCAGGGCACCAUCAGAUGGGCCACACAUUGCCACCUGCCAUACCUGCAUCAGCACCCCAACUCCUAGUCCCAGCCUGAUUAUACAAUGCACCAUGUGCCAACACUCCAUACAAACGCUGGAAACACAAACAGCCAACUGCCCCACAGCCACCUGGACCCACAUAUCCCUCCCCCCCCCCCGCCUCCUUAGGGGCACCAUCAGAUGGGCCACACAUUGCCACCUGCCAUACCUGCAUCAGCACCCCAACUCCUAGUCCCAGCCUGAUUAUACAAUGCACCAUGUGUCAGCACUCCAUACAAAUGCUGGAAACACAAACAGCCUACUGCCCCACAGCCACCUGGACCCACAUAUCCCUCCCCCCCCCGCCUCCUUUGGGGCACCAUCAGAUGGGCCAUGCAUUGCCACCUGCCAUACCUGCAUCAGCACCCCAACUCCUAGUCCCAGCCUGAUUAUACAAUGCACCAUGUGCCAACACUCCAUACAAAUGCUGGAAACACAAACAGCCAACUGCCCCACAGCCACGUGGACCCACAUAUCCCUCCCCCCCCCCCCUGCCUCCUUAGGGGCACCCACAGGUGGAUGGGCCACGCAUUGCCAUCUGCCAUACCUGCAUCAGCACCCCAACUCCUAGUCCCAGCCUGAUUAUUCAAUGCACCAUGUGCCAACACUCCAUACAAAUGCUGGAAACACAAACAGCCAACUGCCCCACAGCCACGUGGACCCACAUAUCCCUCUCCCCCCCCCCGCCUCCUUAGGGGCACCAUCAGAUGGGCCACACAUUGCCACCUGCCAUACCUGCAUUGGCACCCCAACUCCUAGUCCCAGCCUGAUUAUACAAUGCACCAUGUGCCAACACUCCAUACAAAUGCUGGAAACACAAACAGCCAACUGCCCCACAGCCACCUGGACCCACAUAUCCCUCCCCCCCCGCCUCCUUAGGGGCACCCACAGGUGGGCCACACAUUGCCACCUGCCAUACCUGCAUCGGCACCCCAACUCCUAGUCCCAGCCUGAUUAUUCAAUGCACCAUGUGCCAACACUCCAUACAAACGCUGGAAACACAAACAGCCUACUGCCCCACAGCCAC